AUGGAGCAACACAAGGUCAGUGUUGUAAGAAGUCCAAUAUUGCAACAGACACUGUCAAAGAGAGAGAUUCUAGAAGCAUGUGGUCAUGAGCCAACGUGUCCAGUCAGUGCGGGCCUUCUCAUGGGGAAGCACGCCCUUCCGCUGGAGCCUCUGCAACACACAAAUCCUGCCAUUCCUUUCAUUUUCUUCUGGACUCCCUGGUGGCCUUCGUGGGCACUGAAAACUUUGGCUGGUCUGUGGCGGGAGUCGGAUCUCCAGAAGGGAGCUCCGGCCAUCCCGGAAGGAUGUCUCUACAUCAAGCCAGUGGGUCUCAGAGGUCGUAUCAGUCAAGAGAGAGCAAAGUCAAGGGAACAUGGAAACAAUUUGAAAGAAACAAACGGAAACCGUGGUGGCCCUGCCUUUGCCAAGAGUGCUGGAUCAAAGGCCAGGAUAGCCCUUGGAAGACGGGUUCCCUGUCGCAUUUUGUCACUGAGGGCUCUCCAGUGCCUCCCUGGAAUCUUCUAGAAUGGGCCUACUGAGAAGCCCAGGAACUGAUGCAAGUGGAUGGUCUGGGCCCUGGGAACAUUCAGAAGCGGCAAUAAUCUCUCCCCCCACCCCCUUACCAGAACCCCCAGUGCUUUUAGCCCUUAGGCUCGAUCCUGCUGGUCGUUAGGCAUGGAUGGCCUUUGGGUCAGAAAAUUCAGCAGCGCCUGGUCCUCACCCCCGCGGGC
rnacentral:lncRNA from 1 species